rnacentral:lncRNA from 1 species
UGUUGUGGUAGUUGUUUCAGGUGUAGUAGUUGGCUCACUGGUAGUGGUUGUAGUUCUAACAGUUGUAGUCAAUGUUUUUGGUUCAUCAGUAGUAGUAGUUGGUUCAGGUGUAGUUGUUGAAUAAGUAGUGGUAGUUUGUUCAGGUGUUGUGGUAGUUAUUUCAGGGGUAGUAGUUGGCUCACUGGUAGUAGUAGUAGUUGGUUCAGGUGAAGUGGUUGUUGGCACCAUGGUAGUGGAUGUAGUUUGUUUGGGUGUUGUAGUUUGUGCAGUAGUAGUUGAUGUUAAUUCAGUAGUGGUAGUUAAUUCAGGGGUAGUAGUUGGCUCAUUGGUAGUGGUCGUAGUUCUAACAGUUGUAGUCAAUGUUGUUGGUUCAUUAGUAGUAGGAGUUGGUUCAGGGGUAGUUGUUGUAUAAGUAGUGGUAGUUUGUUCAGGUGUUGUGGUAGUUAUUUCGGGGGUAGUAGUUGGAUCACUGGUAGUGGUAGUAGUUGGUUCAGGUGAAGUGGCUGUUGGCACCAUGGUAGUGGAUGUAGUUUGUUCGGGUGUUGUAGUUUGUGCAGUAGUAGUUGAUGUUAAUUCAGUAGUGGUAGUUAAUUCAGGUGUAGUGGUUGGCUCACUGGUAGUGGUUGUAGUUCUAACAGUUGUAGUCAAUGUUUUUGGUUCAUCAGUAUUAGUAGUUGGUUCAGGUGUAGUUGUUGAAUAAGUAGUGGUAGUUUGUUCAGGUGUUGUGGUAGUUAUUUCAGGUGUAGUAGUUGGCUCACUGGUAGUGGUUGUAGUUCUAACAGUUGUAGUCAAUGUUGUUGGUUCAUUAGUAGUAGGAGUUGGUUCAGGUGUAGUUGUUGUAGUUUGUUCGGGUGUUGUAGUUUGUGCAGUAGUAGUAGUUGGUUCAGGUGUAGUUGUUGUAUAAGUAGUGGUAGUUUGAUCAGGUGUUGUGGUAGUUUUUUCAGGGGUAGUAGUUGGCUCACUGGUAGUGGUUGUAGUUAUAACAGUUGUAGUCAAUGUUGUUGGUUCAUCAGUAGUAGUAGUUGGUUCAGGUGUAGUUGUUGUAUAAGUAGUGGUAGUUUUUUCAGGUGUUGUGGUAGUUAUUUCAGGGGUAGUAGUUGGCUCACUGGUAGUGGUCAUAGUUAUAGCAGUUGUAGUCAAUGUUGUUGGCUCAUUAGUAGUAGUAGUUGGUUCAGGUGUAGUUGUUGUAUAAGUAGUGGUAGUUUGUUCAGGUGUUGUGGUAGUUAAUUUAGGGGUAGUAGUUAUAACAGUUGUAGUCAAUGUUGUUGGCUCAUUAGUAGUAGUAGUUGAUUCAGGUGUAGUUAAGGAUUCUGGCGUUGUUGUUGUUGAAGUUGCUGACGAUGUUGUAGUCGAGU